rnacentral:piRNA from 1 species
UUUUUAUUUGGAAACACAUUU